rnacentral:tRNA from 1 species
AGAAACUUAGGUUAAAACAAACCAGAGGCCUUCAAAGCCCCAAAUAAGAGUACACUCUUAGCUUCUG